ACAUGCAAGUCGAGGGGCAGCAUGAACUUAGCUUGCUAAGUUUGAUGGCGACCGGCGCACGGGUGAGUAACACGUAUCCAACCUGCCGAUGACUCGGGGAUAGCCUUUCGAAAGAAAGAUUAAUACCCGAUGGCAUAGUUCUUCCGCAUGGUGGAACUAUUAAAGAAUUUCGGUCAUCGAUGGGGAUGCGUUCCAUUAGGUUGUUGGCGGGGUAACGGCCCACCAAGCCUUCGAUGGAUAGGGGUUCUGAGAGGAAGGUCCCCCACAUUGGAACUGAGACACGAUCCAAACUCCUACGGGAGGCAGCAGUGAGGAAUAUUGGUCAAUGGACGAGAGUCUGAACCAGCCAAGUAGCGUGAAGGAUGACUGCCCUAUGGGUUGUAAACUUCUUUUAUACGGGAAUAAAGUGAGGCACGUGUGCCUUUUUGUAUGUACCGUAUGAAUAAGGAUCGGCUAACUCCGUGCCAGCAGCCGCGGUAAUACGGAGGAUCCGAGCGUUAUCCGGAUUUAUUGGGUUUAAAGGGAGCGUAGGCGGACGCUUAAGUCAGUUGUGAAAGUUUGCGGCUCAACCGUAAAAUUGCAGUUGAUACUGGGUGUCUUGAGUACAGUAGAGGCAGGCGGAAUUCGUGGUGUAGCGGUGAAAUGCUUAGAUAUCACGAAGAACUCCGAUUGCGAAGGCAGCUUGCUGGACUGUAACUGACGCUGAUGCUCGAAAGUGUGGGUAUCAAACAGGAUUAGAUACCCUGGUAGUCCACACAGUAAACGAUGAAUACUCGCUGUUUGCGAUAUACAGUAAGCGGCCAAGCGAAAGCGUUAAGUAUUCCACCUGGGGAGUACGCCGGCACGGUGAAACUCAAAGGAAUUGACGGGGGCCCGCACAAGCGGAGGA
rnacentral:rRNA from 1 species